rnacentral:rRNA from 1 species
UACGUAGGGUGCAAGCGUUGUCCGGAAUUAUUGGGCGUAAAGAGCUCGUAGGCGGUUCGUCGCGUCGGCUGUGAAAACCCGAGGCUCAACCUCGGGCCUGCAGUCGAUACGGGCGGACUGGAGUUCGGCAGGGGAGACUGGAAUUCCUGGUGUAGCGGUGAAAUGCGCAGAUAUCAGGAGGAACACCGGUGGCGAAGGCGGGUCUCUGGGCCGAAACUGACGCUGAGGAGCGAAAGCGUGGGGAGCAAACAGG